CCUCCCUAAGUAUUAAGUAUAGCUGACUUCCAAUCAGAAGGGCCAGAUUUUCUGGAGGGAGAA
rnacentral:tRNA from 1 species